rnacentral:rRNA from 1 species
CCUACGGGAGGCAGCAGUGAGGAAUAUUGGUCAAUGGCCGGAAGGCUGAACCAGCCAUGCCGCGUGAAGGUCAGUGCCCUAUGGGCGUUAAACUUCUUUUGUGCGGGAGCAAUAAUGGUCACGUGUGGCCAGACGAGAGUACCGUACGAAUAAGCAUCGGCUAACUCCGUGCCAGCAGCCGCGGUAAUACGGGGGAUGCAAGCGUUAUCCGGAGUUAUUGGGUUUAAAGGGUGCGUAGGCUGUGAGGUAAGUCAGCGGUGAAAUGCCCCCGCUCAACGGGGUGAAGUGCCAUUGAUACUGCCUGGCUGGAAUGCGGAUGCGGUGGGAGGAAUGUGUGGUGUAGCGGUGAAAUGCAUAGAUAUCACACAGAACACCGAUUGCGAAGGCAUCUCACGAAGCCGCGAUUGACGCUGAUGCACGAAAGCGUGGGUAUCAAACAGGAUUAGAUACCCGAGUAGUC